CCCAAAAGCUCCACAGAGUUAACACCAAUCACAGUAAAGAUAAGAAAUGGACCGCAGAGAACCUACUUUUACUGGCUCUUACAUAUGAAGAGCACCAAAAAUAGAGUGAUGUCCAAAUAACGGGAAGCUUCCUGAGAACAGUUCUCUGAGGUACAUUCGCUCUGUCACUACUGCCUAGUAUAGUGCUCAACACAAACAAGGUACUCAGAUGCUUAAUGAAGAAAAUAAAUCAUCAGGUUGCCAAAUGGAAUGCCAUCUCUAAUACGUGAGUUAUAAAACGGUAUCAGAAGCAGAUGGAGAACAGGCCAUCUAAAGAAGAUUACAGUAUGAUCUCCCUUCCACUUUAAAUUGUUUCACCUUCAAAAGGACAUUUUUGUUAAAGUGUCUCAGCAGAAUACUUGUAACUGUGUAUCUAAAAAUAUUACACAUUGGAAUGCAAUCUCCUAAACAGAUAUACUUCAAGAACUUGGGAACAGUAUUUCAAAAUUUCUUCAUUAAGGUGACUUUGAAUACAAUAUGGAGGAGACCAAGAUGUUCCUUAAAUCUCAUCUUAAAAAAACUAAAUAAAAUGUAAUUCAUAUUAGAUACAGUAUGACCUAAUGGGCUGUGAUACAUGGUAGAGGGUUGAGCAAAAAAGAAUGCUGGUGAGUGAGGUGCUUGCUGUCUUUGAAAACAAUAUCCAAGAAUAAGACCUUAAUGCUAUUUUCCCAAGAAAAAAGGGGUCCUAACUUGCUAUCAUAAGUGCUAUGGCUUUCAACUGCCAUAACUUUAUUCUUACUAUCAAACUCCUUAUGGUCUUAACAGUUAACCCUCUUUCUUUCCUACUGGAAGGGCACUAUUAUAUAUCAAGGCCAACAAACUGACAUUUCUUCCAAAUUUUAUGAGCUUAGUUUAUUAGAAAACAGUCUCUUGUAUUUUAAUACUCAUGGAUGGAGAGGCAAUUUUUUUUAAGUUUAAUUCUGAAGUGUUCCAAGAUUAUUCUUUUAAAAAAUAGAAAAAAUAAUAUAACAAAUACCCAUUCCUCAUUUUUAGUAAAUGUUAACAUUUUUCUCAU